UAGGAUUGUUCACCCACCUACAGGGAACGUGAGCUGGGUUUAGACCGUCGUGAGACAGGUUAGUUUUACCCUACUGACGACCAUAGAAGAAAUGUUAUUGCGAUAGUAAUCCUGCGAAGUACGAGAGGAACCGCAGGUUCGGACAGUUGGUUGGCGCACUUGGUCGAGCGGCCAGUGGUGCGAGGCUACGUCCGGAUGAUUAUACCUGAAGGCCUCUGAAGGUAGAAUCGAUGCUGGAGGAAGGCAAUGAUACGCAGCGUCUUUUGACUCGUUUCGACGUUUUAUCUGGGUGGCUAUAACGAGACCCGUCUCGGUUAGAGAUUAAAACUCGCUCCAUCAGCGAGGGGGUUCCGGCCUUUUCGUUUCGUUUCGGACGAAUGCCUGGUCGGCGCUUCAUUCUCGAGUCCCGGCCGGGGUGUUGUACACGGUAGAGCAGUCCAAAUUCACACUGCGAUCUUUUGAGACUCAGCCCUUCAAAUGAGACCGGAAGAUUUGUCUUGCCAGAUGAGACAAGUC
rnacentral:rRNA from 1 species